rnacentral:rRNA from 1 species
AUUGAACGCUGGCGGCAGGCCUAACACAUGCAAGUCGAGCGAGCGGCGGACGGGUGAGUAAUGUAUGGGGACUGCCCGAUAGAGGGGGAUAACUACUGGAAACGGUGGCUACUACCGCAUACUAUCGGAUAACCCAUAUGGGAUUAGCUAGUAGGUGUGGUAAAGGCUCACCUAGACGACGCUCUUUAGCUGGUCUGAGAGGAUGAUCAGCCACACUGGGACUGAGACAAGGCCCAGACUCCUACGGGGGCAGCAGUGGGGAAUAUUGCACAAUGGGCGAAAGCCUGAUGCAGCCAUGCCGCGUGUAUGAAGAAGGCCUUAGGUUUGUAAAGUACUUUCAGCGGGGAGGCGUUACCCACAGAAGAAGCAACGGCUAACUCCGUGCCAGCAGCCGCGGUAAUAC